GGCGGAGGGAGGGGGCGCCCGGGGAAGCGGCGUGUGCCGCCGGGGAGGCGGAGGGGGGAGGCUGCACGCGCAGGCACCGAGGGCGAAGUUGGCGGCGGGGGGGGAACAGGCUUGGCGUGCACGGAGAGAGCCCGGCUCCACGGGGGAGGGGGACGGCAGCAGCGCGGAGGGUCCGGAGUCCGGCGCGGAGGCGGUGGCGGCGCCCGGGGACCCCCGCCGCGGGCAGGGCACCGCACGCUGCGCGACGCGGAGCGGAGAAGCGGCGCGAUCCCGGCGAUCCCAGGAGAAGCUGCACGGAUCCACUCGGAAUGAAGACAACUCUCAAGACCUUCAUCUUUGUCACCGAGGCAGAUGGUGCUUUUCAAGGGCAGAUGCAGGACACACAAAUUUCAAGCAUGACAGCAAAGAAGUCCCUUCUGCUCGUUUCAUUUUGUAGAAGAAGAAAAUAAUAAAACUUCUCAUCGAUCCCUGGACUGCACUCGAGUGAGAGCUGUUAGCUGUCACAAAUAGAAACAACUCAGGAGUGUGAAGAGGGUCAAGUGGAGGAUCAGCUCAUUACUGUGAUUUAAGAAUGGAGGGGACAAAUGCUAUUCUCAUCAUAAAUGUUUUCUUUCUUGUUCUAUACUGCAAAAGGAAAGACAUUCAAUGCUGUGCUUCAAAGUCACAUUGCAAUCCCAAUCUAGUUGUUCAUGUUGGGUUUAAUAUAAACAAAGUCUAAUUGCAUAUACAGCUUUGUAAAUCCUCAGCAUCACUGGAGCUGCCCUGAUGAGAGAUCAGAAUUAGGUACAGUAUUUCCUCCCUGCCAGUAACAGGUUUUGAAUGGAAAGCCUGGAAUGUAAAAAAAGAAAUAAUGCUAAAAAUCCAAUCACUCUGACAUCCUGUGAGCUAAUAAGAGCACGUGAAUGCAACAAGCUUAGUACUUCACAGUAAUUAAUUUGACAGCAAAGAGCUAACAAGAAAACAACAGGCAGAGCAGUGAUGACUGGUUCAUAGAGGUCACUGUCAAACAAGAAAUAGGUGCAAACACAGUUCAUCUCCCUUUGGAAAAAACUAUUUCGUUGCCCCAGUGAAAAUGAAAAGUCCAAAGAGGGAAAAUACAAUGGGUUCGGUGGGGAUAACAAAUCUGGCAAGGUAUUUCUACAGUAAAACAAGGUAGAGGUUUUCUUUCUUACAUAUGGGGAUUUUUAAUCAUCCCCUGUUACUCACUGUAGUGGCAUGUUUUGGUUUUUGCAUUUCCCCCCCUCUCAGUUAGCUAAAGCCAUUUUGCAUAUUCAAAUAUUGGGAAGACUUAUCUUCUCUCACAAUUACUAACAAACUAAUACUCUAAUAACCUCUAUUGUUAUUUAAAGGGUGUCCAACACAGCAUUCUGGAGGCAGUUCUCACACAAUGGACUUUCUCUGGCUUCCUCCUAGAGAAGAACUUAAUCAAACCUCAGAUGCUUUCAGGCAGAAGAGCCUUCGGGGAGAGCAAACAGGGUUAACAGAAAGAAAUGUGCCAUCUGAUUUCUAAUCUUGCUCAGGGAGCAUGGCCUAUUGAUUGAGCCAUAAAGCUCUGUUAAUUUUAAUAUUUCCUCAGCUUUCAGUUCUUUCCCUUGGGCAUAAACUUGUUGCUGACACACAGUGGCUGAGCUAUCAGGGAGAGGGUAGCUUCACACUCCCCGACUCGGCUCUCUUCCCCUCCUCCCCUCCAUUCUAUUUGUUCUGAGCUCAUCUGCGUGAGGAUACAUUUUCACACACACCUUCUCAAACCGGCUGCUAUUCAUCUGAUUCAGGGUCAUGCUUUUCCAUACAUUAAAUGCAGGGGAAAACUGGGAAGGAAAUGGCUGGGAUUUGUGCUUGACGGGCAAGCACACGAUUAGCCAGGGAGCCCUGCUGUGAGAAAGUACAGCGUCGGAGGGUAUUUUCUGUGGAAUCAUCCAGUCUCAUGACUGGAAUCUGAUGCCUAUAAAAAGCUACUAUAUAAUGAAAACAGGAUAAAGUGAGAUCCUCAGGCAGUGUAAGUCGGCAUGUUCCCGAGACAUCCGACUGCUGCACAAUCACGGAACAGGUCAGCUUGGAAGGGACCGCCCGUGGGGCCAUCUGAUCCAACCUCCCUGCCCAAACAGGGUCCUCCUAGACACAACUCUUUCUUCCUUUAUAACCUCGGUAUUUGCUUAUGCACAUUUUUCUCAGGGGUAAGGAGGCAGAAGUCACUCUUGGAGAGGCCAGUCAGUGCAGCCCUGAGCUAGAAACGGAGCAGGAGGCGAUGGCACAGGGCAGCUCCCUCAGUGCUCUGUGUUUCCACCAUGCCUUCAGUGGGACCAUGAACAAUUUACAUUAGCAAAGGAUCUAGCCCUUCACCUUUAGCUAAAGCACCUUUUAUGCACUUAAACCAUUAAUAAUAUCUAUUAGGUAACCAUGUUAAUCCCUUUGAGGUAGGAUUUUCUCUACUGUACUGAUAGCUGAACUGAAUAAAAGCUUCACAUAUGAGA